CCUAGCGCUGUGAAGGAUUCUGUUCUCUGACUUUGGGAGGGCCAGUGCAGAAGAAUCAAGACAGAAUAUGCUCCAAUGUGGGCCAGGCUGUGAAUUCUUUGAAAGAAGCUGCAGAGAAGCAAGAAAGAUUAUCCUAAGACUUCUGGAGGAAGAAUUAGGAUCCUUCUGCAGGAACUCAGUUUACUGUGAAUUGAAGGUAUACCCGAAAUCUUGUGGAUCAAGGAAAUGGAAAAUUUAAUUUGAUGAUUCUCUGUUGGGGUGAAGGACAUGGCA
rnacentral:sRNA from 1 species